GACGAACGCUGGCGGCGUGCUAAUACAUGCAAGUCGAGCGAAGUUUUUCUGGUGCUUGCACUAGAAAAACUUAGCGGCGAACGGGUGAGUAACACGUAAAGAACCUGCCUCAUAGACUGGGACAACUAUUGGAAACGAUAGCUAAUACCGGAUAACAGCAUUAACUGCAUGGUUGAUGUUUAAAAGUUGGUUAUGCUAACACUAUGAGAUGGCUUUGCGGUGCAUUAGCUAGUUGGUGGGGUAAAGGCCCACCAAGGCGACGAUGCAUAGCCGACCUGAGAGGGUGAUCGGCCACACUGGGACUGAGACACGGCCCAGACUCCUACGGGAGGCAGCAGUAGGGAAUCUUCCGCAAUGGGCGAAAGCCUGACGGAGCAACGCCGCGUGAGUGAAGAAGGAUUUCGGUUCGUAAAGCUCUGUUGUUAGGGAAGAAUGGAUAUGUAGUAACUAUACAUGUAAGAGACGGUACCUAACCAGAAAGCCACGGCUAACUACGUGCCAGCAGCCGCGGUAAUACGUAGGUGGCAAGCGUUGUCCGGAAUUAUUGGGCGUAAAGCGCGCGCAGGUGGUUUAAUAAGUCUGAUGUGAAAGCCCACGGCUCAACCGUGGAGGGUCAUUGGAAACUGUUAAACUUGAGUGCAGGAGAGAAAAGUGGAAUUCCUAGUGUAGCGGUGAAAUGCGUAGAGAUUAGGAGGAACACCAGUGGCGAAGGCGGCUUUUUGGCCUGUAACUGACACUGAGGCGCGAAAGCGUGGGGAGCAAACAGG
rnacentral:rRNA from 1 species